rnacentral:misc_RNA from 1 species
UGAGUUGUUCUAGACUUGCUUUCGAAGCGGGCUCCCCGCAUAAUUGUGCGGCCAACUGUUUCGUAGCUAGUUUCUCGAGCGUCCCGCCCCGAUGCACAUAUUGUGCUUGGCUGUUGCGAUUAAUGGGUUGUUGCCUGUGUUGCUACUAUUAUUGGGAUAAUGUUUGUUUUGUGACUACGGCAUGCCAUGUUGCCUUCGAUUAUGAUUUUGAGAAAGUUGCGUAGGCUAUUGAAACAUCGGCUUUGUUCGGGAGCGAUCGAUGAGUCUCGACUCGUCCGCAGCUCCCGACAUAUUUAUAUGAGCAGCUCUUUCGGAUGCGGUAGCUAUGUCGGUUCUUGUGGUCCUCGUCGGUCCGCAUGCAACCUCGUAGUGCACACCCGUAACAGUUYGUUGUGUGUGCGGGAGUUCUAUGAUAUAUUGGUGAUUGCCUUGCGUGCGUGCGUAAUGGCAUUCCGUCCGGGAGUGCUUCGGCAGCUCGCAGGCUCACUUUUCUGACUUGCUACCUGGUUGAUCCUGCCA